rnacentral:rRNA from 1 species
GACGAACGCUGGCGGCGUGCUUAACACAUGCAAGUCGAACGAUGAAGCUGGAGCUUGCUCCGGUGGAUUAGUGGCGAACGGGUGAGUAACACGUGAGCGAUCUGCCCUUGACUCUGGGAUAACUGCGGGAAACUGUAGCUAAUACCGGAUACUUUCACUGGAAGGCAUCUUCUGGUGAAGAAAGAAUUUCGGUCAAGGAUGAGCUCGCGGCCUAUCAGCUUGUUGGUGAGGUAACGGCUCACCAAGGCGACGACGGGUAGCCGGCCUGAGAGGGUGACCGGCCACACUGGGACUGAGACACGGCCCAGACGCCUACGGGAGGCAGCAGUGGGGAAUAUUGCACAAUGGGCGCAAGCCUGAUGCAGCAACGCCGCGUGAGGGAUGAAGGCCUUCGGGUUGUAAACCUCUUUUAGCAGGGAAGAAGCGAAAGUGACGGUACCUGCAGAAAAAGCACCGGCUAACUACGUGCCAGCCGCCGCAGUAA